rnacentral:lncRNA from 1 species
AUUUAAUUCAAAAUUUAGCAUUUCCCAAUGUCUGUUGCACUACUUUCACCACCAUUCUGGUUUGCGCUCAACUCAAGUCAUUCAAGUUAUCGGAGACAAUGUAAAUUGUGCAAUUUAGAACUUGUACACACUAGGUGGUUUCAGCAAAAAUUUUAUCAUUGGUAUCAACAUGGUUACAGGAAAUGUAGCGGAACAGUACAAAUAUUUCAUUUCAUUUCGACGUUAUGCCACAUGGCAACCCAGGCAAAUAAAAAAGAAAUCAACUAUUAUGUCUAAUCCUGAGUCUUGCUAAGAUGAGACCACACAUGCAUUACUGUAUAAAUGUUAAAUUUCAUUGCAUGGAUACAUUCCAUGACCUUAGACAUCACAGCCUCAUGUCAAGUGUUCAAUCUCUGUACAUUUGAUUCAAGCGUGAUGCCUACGAAAGUAGCUGUGUUAGGACAGUGCAAAGAAUUGGAGCAAGGCUUCACUUUGCAUGUACACAUAUUUGUGUCUGUAGCUUCAAGCUGUCAUUUGUCAAACCCAAUUAGUGCUUGUGUGUGCUCCCGUGUGCUGUUUUUCUGUACAUUAACAUAUGCCCAAAGCAUCAGGUUGUUCUUCAGAGUUUGACAUUGUGUCCUAGAGUAAUAAAUGUGCCAUGAAGUCAGUGCUUGUGUUAUGAAAUAAACAUAUUAAAUGCUACCACCAAAACCUGA